AUUAGAAAUACAGGCAGAUCUUUGCUUCAGCAGCACAUAUACAGAGGAUAUUAGCAUGGUCUCUGAACAAGUAUUACACACAAAUUUGUGAAGCAUUUCAUAUUUCA